UGACAUUAUCUCCAUGGCUGAGGUCUUCUGGAGCAGUAGUUCUAGAACUUCUUGGGGCCACUCCAAUAUAACAACACUCAGGAAUCACCUCCCACUACUGCUGGGGCAGGCGGUGGGAACAGAUGUAGAGAGGGCACACAAUGAGCCUCACGUAAGCAUCAGGUACUACAUUUAGGAAGAGAGAUGGUGUGAGGAUGCAGUGGCCAGAAGAGGCAGCCCAGGGAAGAUCUGAGGUGAACCCUCUGGUUGGAAAGCCUUGGCAAAUUGGAGGAAUGAAAAGAAAAAAGAGUAAAUCUACAACAAGGAUCAGCAAACUCCAGUCUACAGGCCAAAUCCAGCCUGCUGCCUGUUUAUGUCAAUAAAGUUUUA
rnacentral:lncRNA from 1 species